rnacentral:rRNA from 1 species
UAGGGAAUAUUGGACAAUGGGUGCAACCCUGAUCCAGCCAUGCCGCGUGAGUGAAGAAGGCCCUCGGGUUGUAAAGCUCUUUUGUCCGGAAAGAAAAGCUUCGGGUUAAUACCCCGGGGUUCUGACGGUACCGGAAGAAUAAGCACCGGCUAACUUCAUGCCAGCAGCCGCGGUAAUACGAAGGGUGCAAGCGUUACUCGGAAUUACUGGGCGUAAAGCGUGCGUAGGUGGUUGUUUAAGUCUGAUGUGAAAGCCCUGGGCUCAACCUGGGAAUUGCAUUGGAAACUGGGCAGCUAGAGUGCGGUAGAGGGGAGUGGAAUUCCCGGUGUAGCAGUGAAAUGCGUAGAGAUCGGGAUGAACAUCUGUGGCGAAGGCGACUGCCUGGACCAGCACUGACACUGAGGCACGAAAGCGUGGGGAGCAAACA